UCAGGCCUCGGGACGCAGCAGUGAGGAAUAUUGGUCAAUGGGCGCGAGCCUGAACCAGCCAAGUCGCGUGAGGGAAGACGGUCCUAUGGAUUGUAAACCUCUUUUGUCGGGGAGCAAAAGACGCCACGCGUGGCGUUCCGAGAGUACCCGAAGAAAAAGCAUCGGCUAACUCCGUGCCAGCAGCCGCGGUAAUACGUAGGGGGCAAGCGUUAUCCGGAUUUACUGGGUGUAAAGG
rnacentral:rRNA from 1 species